GUAGGUGGCAAGCGUUGUCCGGAAUUAUUGGGCGUAAAGCGCGCGCAGGCGGGUUCUUUAAGUCUGAUGUGAAAGCCCACGGGCUCAACCGUGGAGGGUCAUUGGAAACUGGAGAACUUGAGUACAGAAGAGGAAAGCGGAAUUCCACGUGUAGCGGUGAAAUGCGUAGAGAUGUGGAGGAACACCAGUGGCGAAGGCGGCUUUCUGGUCUGUAACUGACGCUGAGGCGCGAAAGCGUGGGGAGCAAACAGGGUUAGAUACCCUGGUAGUCCACGCCGUAAACGAUGAGUGCUAAGUGUUAGGGGGUUUCCGCCCCUUAGUGCUGCGGCUAACGCAUUAAGCACUCCGCCUGGGGAGUACGGCCGCAAAGGCUG
rnacentral:rRNA from 1 species